rnacentral:rRNA from 1 species
GACGAACGGCUGGGCGGCGUGGAUUAGGCAUGCAAGUCGAACGGUAUCAUCCUUUCGGGGGUGAGAGAGUGGCGAACUGGUGAGUAACACGUAGGUUAUCUACCCUCAAGACGGGACAACCCAGGGAAACUUGGGCUAAUACCGGAUGUGAGCAACUUUUAGUUGUUUGAAAGGUGGCGUAAGCUGUCGCUUGGGGAUGAGCCUGCGUCCUAUUAGUUAGUUGGUGAGGUAACGGCUCACCUAGGCAAUGAUAGGUAGGCGGCCUUAACGGAUGGUCGCCCACACUGGGAUUGAGAUACGGCCCAGACUCCUACGGGAGGCAGCAGUCGAGAAUAGUCUACAAUGGUCGGAAGACUGAUAGUGCGACGCCGCGUGAACGAUGAAUCCCUUCGGGGUGUAAAGUUCUUUUAUAUGUGAGCAGUGCUUCUUAUAUUAACAGUAUGGGGAGAGAGAUAUUAGCAUAUGAAUAAGCAACGGCUAACUCCGUG